GACAGGAACCCUUGUCUCUAGGAUGACCCUGGAACCAAGAACCUUCAAUCUACGGAACCUAGGAAUAGAAAUGUUGCCACCGGAGCCCUUUACGAAGGGAGAAGUGCUUCAGUAAGGAAAAUCUGGCUUCCAGCAACAGGAGUAGCUUAUAUGGGCUGAUUGGAGACUAGCCAGUCAACUCCCGAGUUUGAAAUUCCUCGAACUCCUUAAAUUUUGCCCAGAACCCUGGAUCAGGGAGACAGUUUUGAGAGUCCUGCCUUCUAUCUCUUUGCUGGUUGACCUCACAAUAAAGUUCUCUCUUAGCUCAAAAGCCAAUGCCUUAGUGUUGGCUUCUACGCACCUCGGGCAGUGAGACCUUGCUUGGGGACAACUUUGGUGAUCAUAAAGGGACUUAGGUCUUGCGACUGCCUGCCCCAGGCACUGUAGCUCCCGGCAAAGUAUGGGCCGUCGCCACCAACCCUGAAUGGCCACCUAGACCAACUUUGUCCAGGGAGUCGGCUGUGAGGUUCCUGCUUCCCUGCUGCUGUGCUCCAGGCUCUUUGUGCUACUUUCACUUUUUAGAGAAGAAACAGCUCCUGGAUCAGACGUCUUUUGGGAAAGAACCAUUUUUGUUGAAAACAGCUUUUGGAUUCAUGUGGGAAAACGAAGUGACUGUAAUUACCAAGGAGUGAGAGAAGGGAGCAAGCCUGAGGGCUGCACGGAGAAACAGGCUACAUGACUGUAGAACCCAGUUGCUGUGAUGUGGGGAAGCCUGGACCAGCCCAUCUGGAGAGACUAUGUGGACAGGCACAGUGGAAAGGAACUGAGACCCUUAGAUGACAGCCAGUAUCAAUCACCAGAUCUCCCCCUCAUGUGGACUUAGCUUAGCUGGAAACCUGGGUAGAAUGUGAUGGUGCAGACAGAGAGCUCCAGGAGAAGCUUUCUACUUCUGGCUUAAGGAGCAGGAAACUCAACUUCUAAAGCUCAGAAGAAUGAUGAUCAGGAAGAAGAGUGGAUGACAUAAGAAAGGAAAGCAAGAACAAUGAGCAGCCACUCCAUGGCUUGAAGAAGAGAAGUGACAGUACCUGCAUUAGCAUGGAAGAAGAUGGCAUCGUUUUUAGAUAAGUACAUGGUUAUGGAUAUUGGUGAUUGAAGGGAAGAAGGAAGCAAUGAUGAUCACCCAUGAUGUUAAGUGCUGGAAAUCCUUCCAUUCUAUCAUAUAUGUGCUUAAAAGAAGGACCAGAUUGUGUUAUGAACCAAGAAAAGGACAUACGAGGGCACAG